rnacentral:rRNA from 1 species
CAGCAUACUGCCGUGAAUACGUUCCCGGGCCUUGUACACACCGCCCGUCACACCAUGAGAGUUGGAAAUACCCGAAGCCUGUGAGCUAACUUUAGAGGCAGCAGUCGAAGGUAGAGCCAAUGAUUGGGGUGAAGUCGUAACAAGGUACC